UCCCCCAACGGGAGGGAGUCCCGAGUUUAGAUUUAACAUUUACAUUUAACAUUUAACUUUUACAUUUAUAUUGAACAUUUACAUUUAUAUUUAACAUUUACAUUUAGACUUUUGCACAUUUAACUAAAUGUGAGAAAACAUGUGUCAUUUAGUUAAAUGUGAGAAAACUAGUUAUAGGUGCUCCUUUUACAUUCGGCACCCCAUACGAGUGGGUUGGUCUUUGACUAGCGCAACCAAUAGAGGCUUGGUGAGUAUUGGCCGGAGGAGAACCUGCUGUGAACUGCUCAUAACUCACUGGCAAAGCAAAGUUUCACCAAACAGCACCACAGCAUCAGAGCUAGCGGGCAUUUUCAUCUGUAAGAUGAGCGAGUUCGGUUCGUUGGCAGGAAGACAGCUGCGCGUUGAAAUGUGUGUGUAGUGUGAUGAAAGUUCUAAAGGAACAAAACAGUAGUAGGAGUUUCGUGAUGGAGACCUGAGACUUCUGAAGAAGCCAGAGCAUGACCUUUGAACUUCAACCUUCAUUGUGUCUGAGAGUUCCUACCUUUGAUUUCUUCAUGAGCAGCAGAAGCCGCGUGAAGGAAACUGUGUGUGUCAGCGACGCUCUAACCACAACAAGGUCGGCCUUUAAUCCUGUUCUCUGAUGACUGGAGAUCAAACAGGACUCGCUCACAGCCACAACAGCAGGAAUCACACUAAGACUGAAGCUCCCAGAGUUGCCACACACACACACACACACACACACACACACACACACACACACACACACACACACACACACACACACACACACACACACACACACACACACACAGUGACCACAACAAGGUGUCAGCUGCAGCUCUCACGUUGUUUUAAUGAGUCAGCUGAGAUCCUGACGUCACUUCCUGUCUACACUCGCACUUUCAUUAGAAGUAGCACAGCCUACACUAACCUCAGGCUUCAGACUUUGGUCAGUAAAAGUGUUUCUCUAACAUGUAGCUCUGUUGCUCCUGAUGUUCGUUUCAGUGUCACACAGGGUUCAGUGUUUGAGUAGAUCUACUGACUGAAGGCCUGAACAAGAAUGGGCCUAAAGGGAAGCGUCUCCCCCCACACCUGUAAAACCCUGCAGAGGUGAUGAGUCAGCAGCAAACGCCCAGCGAGCUGUGGGUCCCGGCUCAGUGUGUGUGUGUCCAGGACAUGAUUCAGCAGAUGUUCACCACAACACACUCAUUACUGAUGCAGCAGCAUCGCAAACGUCACGCACCCACACGUCUGAUGGCUGAGGCAACACACGCUGUGGAAGAGUGAGGCUAACGCUGCUGAGGCUGCACCUAACGCACUGCAACUCAAACAGCAUCUGUCCAGGACGCGCCGUGGACCAAAACUCCUGAACCGUCAUUAAAGCUAGAAGGAAACUGAAACCUGCUCCCACAUCCAGUAACUGCUUUUACAAUCAGACCCGAACUUCGCUCCAGCGUCUCCUCAGAGCCACGAGCGGCACCGCUGGCUCAGGAAACCAGGGCCGUGUACAUAGUUCACCCACUGAACCGAGUUCACCACAUUAAAGAAGAAACCCAAGACGUGCAUCUGACCCCAGACUUCAGAGUUCAUCUAAACCAUGGCAACAGAAGACGCUUGCGUCUGGUCUGAGGAGACGUCCUCAUCAGCAUUUGGGUCCACUGACUGAAAUCACUGAUCCACUUGUUUCUCUGUGGGAUUCUGUGCAGACCAGCUUUGUUUGUGCUGCUCUCACUGCUCUGAACUGAGGCCAAAGCAGAGCAUCGCCCGAUGCAGCAGGAGGUUCUGUGGACAUGAAGAGCUGCAGGGAUUUCCAGUCAUAUGGGCAAAUUUUCUGCUUCAUAAGAGUCGAGCGCCGCCGCAGCGGAAACGAGCGGUUUGGAUUUAGAACCUCAAACAUUUUAUGAGCCCACAGAGUUGGCCUUUAUUUCACGCUUUGUGGAGGAGCUCAAAGUUCCAGUGUUCAUGACGUCAGGGUCAGGGAGAAACCCGCUGAGUGCUCAUCAGCACAGGAAUCACACAUGACUGCUCCUAACGGGAAUCAGCCAUUAGUUCUUCUCUUCACGUUCAGGCUCGAGUUACGCCUUUCCAUGUUGGGAACGGCUCCGUUGCUUUAUACGAGUUCUAAUAAAAGCCUGAAACACACAGCCAGGGGUCAGAUCGGCAGGUUUUACAGCGGUGUCUGGGAAAUAUCUGAACACAGAGGAGCCACCAGCCUCAGCAGCUGCAGGAGAAUUCCUUCCUACACUUGGUUAGUUUGUUUAUGUGCUGUCAUGCAGCAUAACUGAAAUACUCAGAUGAGUCUCAUAUUCCUGCAGUGGUUGACAUUAAUGUUCUGGCUGUGUGCAGACACUCAGACGCAGUAAUGGACAUGUUUGCCACCAGAGGGACGGCCUGACAGCGUUUCUGGCUGCACGGUGGCCGAAUGUUUGCAUAUUUGAGGAAGAGUCCGGCCAAGACGUCUCUGUAAAAAUGUAAAGCCAUAAUCCUAGUAAAUCUGAGUAAAUAUUUGAUACAUAUCACAUGUCCAGCGGGAGAGGGGGUGCAGCUCAGCUGGAGGGGCAGCGUUUCCUCACAUGUCCAGCCUGGAGUCUCUGCAUCCGCCUUCUGUAGGUGGACGUGAAUGUGCCUCAUGCACAGCAGAGCAGGCUUCACUUCAUGGGACUGAAUGACAAAGCAGCCGUGUGUUUGCCCAGCGAUGAGCUCACGGAAGCAGAGGUCACACAGGUCAGCGCAGAGCCAGACGCUCGGCCGUGACCAGCGGCUCGUGUGAGUCUCCGGUCGGACGGGUCCAGGUUGGACGCGUGGGUUCUGAUGCACUUCACUGUAGGAGCCGCUUCACGGAGGAUGGAUGAUGAGUUUAAAGGUUCGCGCAUAUGAAUAAUUUAACGCUGCUCAUGUAUGAAAUGGUCAGUAGUUACGCCCACACAGCAGCUAAUGAACGUCAUGUGGCGUGAAGUGAGCGUCAGGACGCUGACGGCUUUGCUUCAUGAUGUUCUUGUAGUGGUGUGAAAUUCUCCACUUGGAUCUUUGUGCAUCACAUUUUCCUGAGUGAUUUCCGCUUCCUGUUUGUCUUCAGCUCUGCUCCUCGUUCUGUAGGAACCGAACACUAAACAGCUGAAGCUAAAAAUGGACCUGACGCCACAACACCAACAGACUCAGCAACUCAAACAGGACAAAAGUGAGAGCAGACAAGAAAAGAAGGAAGAAGACAAGCGAAGGUCCCUCGUGUCCUUCAGCACCUUCCUCUAACUCAAACUACACCUGCAGACAAAUGGAGGAAACCAUUUAUUUCCAGAGAGAUGACAAGACGGACAAAAGGGCUGAAAAAGGAGUGAGAUGAUGAGACGAAGGCCGAGGAAGAGCAGCUGCGUCACACUUUCCUCUGAUGAAGCUUCUUCAGACUCACGGAUCUGCUCAGGACACAGUGUCUGUAAGAACUUGGAUUUAGUUCUUCAACAGUAAAACCAAUGAGUCCAGUGAGACAGAACGAGUUAAAUGAGAAAUAAGCCAAUAAGCCAGAGUCCAUCGUGCAGGUGGAGAGAUUCCUGACAGAAACCUCCCGUCUCACUUCAAACAUCAGCCUCCCGGUCCCAGUGGCCGUGAACGCAGCGCCAGGCUCUCCGCACUCCCUCUUUGCUUUGAAGCGCUUCAUUCUCCCUGAGGAGCCGUGAACACCAUCGGCUCCACGAGGCGCCCUACAUAGAGGCUCCGAUGAACUUCACCUGAACCUCACAUGCAUCCGUCCUCACGUGUCUUCACCGCUCGCCUUCAUCGUGUGAGGAGCUGAUGAGCUCUGGUUCUGCUGGAGGUUCCGUCAGUGAGAGGCUGUUUCCUCAGCGUCUCAUCGGAGCUCGGAGGUGGUUUCCUCCCUGUUCGCUCCCUGUGUUUCUGCUCCUCCCUGUUGAGCCGCUUCCUCCUCCAGUGGAUCUGGACUCAAGUGUGAAGGUAGAUGUUCAGGGUGGCUUCAACUUGUUACGGCUCAUCUGUUCAGUCGUUGCUUCUCCACAGAAAUGGAGGAGGCUGAAUCUCAGGAUACACAAGAAAAAGGAAAUGAAGAUGAGGCUGACGAAGACGAGAGGAGACAGCUCAGCUGAGUUGUUCUCUUCUCUGACCUUUGACCUUUGGAGGCCGACGUCUCUCCUGACAGUGAUCCAUCAACAGCUGAUGAGGAUCUCAGUUAAUGAAGGAUGAAGACCAAUGACUCUCUUCCGUUACUGUCUUUUUUAGACCUUCCCUCUUUUCUCUUCACUUCUGUUUUUUUUAGUCUUGAUUGUGUUUUUACUUUUUGGACAUUUCUGGGGGAGGAGGGUGAAGUAUCCUGACAAAGGAUAUGAUGGGGGAAGCACUUCUUCGCCCCGUGUGUCUCGGUCUCAUUGGGCUGAUUGAUGAUUGGUCCCGUUCAGGGAGCAGCUGCCAUGUGGCUCGUGUGAUUGGCUCCACCCCCUCCCCCUCCUCUGAUCCACAGUUACUCCCCGUCCACCAACGACUCACACUGUAAAAUAAGUGUCUUUGCUUAAACUGGCUGUAGCUGCUGAAUUGGAACCGGCUUCUCUGAAGCUCCACCAAACUGAUGACUCACAUUAGCACAACUCCAGAUGUGUCCGCUCUGGUUUCCAGUUACUCCAGACGAGCACGUCUGGUGGUUUCACUGCCAUUGAGGACACACAUUCAAAUCCUCACGGUGCGAAUCUAAAACCUUAUUAUGCGCCACGUCCCUCAGAUCCACAUUUGACCCCAGAGUCCUGGGGCGUUUAUUGAAAAUAAUCAUGUGUAAAGAGUUACUGAUGGUUUCACUCCGUCUACGUCAGCAGCUGAACUCGUCUGUUACCUGCCUCUGUUUCUCCGAAUACAAACUGAAGCUGAGACAAGUACAGGCCCUGAUUUAGCAGGAGUCACAUCCAGCCAGCUCUGUGCUUGGCCCCGUCUGAGCAGGAGACAAAGCUUUAAACAGUGAAACAGAAGCUGAAGCUGCGCUUGGAUGUUGUGGAUGUUGUUGGAUGUGCAGUAGAGUGAUGCCACGUUCCAGCUUCCCUGUGAGCGAAGUGGUGUCCAUGAGGGAGUCUGAGCAAAAACAAGCCUGUCACUAACAGGUCAGCAAGCAGAGACAGGCAGGAGGAGGAGGUGCAGACCUGCCUCAAACCCCCCACGGCCACACAUCAACUCCUUUGCUUUCUCAUCUGUGCUAACAUCAAGUGGAUUGUGGCGUCUCCUCUGAUGCAACGACUGGAGUUUGUUGUGCAGCCUCAGCGUUUCAGCCUCAGUGUUUAACAGCCGUCCACUUGGUGAUGUCCAAACCAGCCCUGAUUGUGGUGCAGUGGUUAGCCUGUUAUGCUCCUAUUGCCCAGCUUGUGGGUUUAAUCCCCAUCUGGUUUAAAAACUUGCCAAAUCUGUCUGUCAUUGACUGUGGCAGAAAGAGAGUUACUUUUUACUUGAUAGAGUCCAAACCCAGAGCAGCUGAAACCAGCACCAGGCGUCAAUAACCACCUUGUUGCUCAUGUGACAUUUUGCUGCCCUCUAAUGGCCACAUCGUCUACCUAGUCUGGUUUAUUGAGGCGUCCAGAUGAAAGCUAGUCAUGGCGAGAACCAGAAGUCUGGUUGGAUGUAGUGUGUGUCUGUUUUACACUGCGUCUCCUUGAGAACGGUGUUUAACAUUAAUGAUGGUGAACUCACACAGCUUCCAGUCUGCUCUCGACAGGUACGGCCCCUGGUCCUGGAUCCAGUAGAGAUAUUUUGGUCAGGGGUUUGUGUCAUUCGGAUCAAAACCUGCUGGACCUGUCUUAUCUGUGCUAUUAGCUGCAAACCGCUGGAGCCAGAGCAGGAACCCAGAGAGCAUCCUGAUACUGAGUCCUUUUAUUAUGAAGGAGUUCUACUCCUGCUUAAUCAAGAAGGAUGCUGCGAACUGGACCAUUAUUGACUGCUACCAAUGCACCUGUCAAACAUUUUUCCUCAUUCAUGAACUGGAUCUGCUUGUCUACUUGCUCUGUCCUCAACCAGUCAGUUUCUCCUCUUCCAGUUUCAGUGUAUCACAACUAAGCAAACUUUAACUUUGGGGAUGUUGUGUUUUUGGGUCAACCUGUUACAUCACGUAAUUUCCAAUGUUGGGUUUGGUUUGGACCUUUUCAUGCAAAGAUCCAUGAAGGAAACCCUUCAGCUGCUGCUUUGUUCAUGUCUGAGCAAGUGCUGCCACCUGGCGGAUCAGCUCGGAAACUACAUGCAGCACAAUCUACAUACAGAGGAUGGAGGUGGUUUUAUUUUAAAGGAUUCAUCCUUUCAU